rnacentral:rRNA from 1 species
UACGUAGGGCGCAAGCGUUGUCCGGGAAUUAUUGGGCGUAAAGAGCUCGUAGGCGGUUUGUCGCGUCUGCCGUGAAAGUCCGGGGCUCAACUCCGGAUCUGCGGUGGGUACGGGCAGACUAGAGUGAUGUAGGGGAGACUGGAAUUCCUGGUGUAGCGGUGAAAUGCGCAGAUAUCAGGAGGAACACCGAUGCGAAGGCAGGUCUCUGGGCAUUAACUGACGCUGAGGAGCGAAAGCAUGGGGAGCGAACAGG